GGAUAACAGCAAGGAUGCUGUGGUCUCCCUGCUCAACUUCACGUGCCAUGGUUAGAUGUGUGACCUUGCAGAAGUUUGCCUAUCUUUACCAAGAGCUUGAUGAUUUGAACCACUGACUGAUUGCCCUGUACUUGGAGGAUGUGAGGAAGCAGAAUUGAGCCAAUAAAGAGAAGAGGAAGAAGGAGCCACAGAACUGAGUGGGAUGUCCCCUGAGCACUCCUUGGUGGAGCAAAAGUCUUGCAAGUCUCUAGUGCGCUGGGCAGGCUGAGGGCGUUCAGCCGAGAACACAGCUCUGUAAAUACAUCAGCGAGGAUGCAUAUAUACAGUUUCCCCAGUGCUCCCUCAGACCCUUGGAGGCUGGGCUACUCCAAGCUCUGUUUCCUGCAAAAAAAUGGAGUAAGUCCUGUGGAGUCUAAAUACACAUUCCCUCUGCAUUAUACCCACGCCUCGACUUCAUUAUAUCUAGGAGCACUGAGACAAAGAGAUUUAUAACAAACUUCAUCCAAGCCAAGAAUGAAACACGGCAGCCUCCAUGCAGCAGGAAACCCAUUGAUCUGUUUCUUAUAAGCAUGUGGUUCUAUGCUGUUUUUCUGCCAAAGCUUUUCCCUGCCUCCCACUUGAGGAGCAUACACCAGCUGAUUCUGCAGAUUGACUCUACAUCAUUCUCUGUCAUGAAGCCAUGGCAUGUGUUUAUGCGUCUGUAACAAAGCGUUUAUAUUCUGCCAUCUGCAUAAAAACUGCUGAAGGACAUUUCAGCAAGAAUCCCUAUGGUUUAUGCAGCUGCAUGUUGAACAUGAAAAUCUAAGAUAUGACAGUGGUCUUUCAUUCAUACAACCUUUGAAUUUUGGUAAAGUUCUGAUGUAAUGUUAAAGAGUGGUAUUUUGAGGACUACGCAUCAAGAUAUAAACAUGGCACAUCUUUUAUAAUAUCAGCCACUGGAAGACAUUUGAAAUAAUAUUUGUAUAAUUGUGGGCUGUAUUAUCUUUCUUUCUUGCACAUAAUAAAGUUUCACUGGAAGUAAA